rnacentral:rRNA from 1 species
UAACGGCGUAGGAAACGGUCGACUAAUAACCGAAUACGUUCUUUUUUAUUUUAUCUUUUAAAAGGAAAGAUGGCCUCUGCUUUGCAAGCUAUCGCUUGAAGAUGAGUCCGCGUCCCAUUAGCUAGUUGGUGAGGUAAUGGCCCACCAAGGCAACGAUGGGUAGCCGGUCUGAGAGGAUGGCCGGCCACAUUGGGACUGGAACACGGCCCAAACUCCUACGGGAGGCAGCAGUGGGGAAUAUUGCGCAAUGGGCGAAAGCCUGACGCAGCGACGCCGCGUGAGGGAUGAAGGUCUUCGGAUCGUAAACCUCUGUCAGAAGGGAAGAAAGAUGCGGGUGUGAAUAAUGUCCGCAAGUGACGGUACCUUCAAAGGAAGCACCGGCUAACUCCGUGCCAGCCGCCGC